UACGAAGGGGGCUAGCGUUGUUCGGAAUUACUGGGCGUAAAGCGCGCGCAGGCGGCUAUCCAAGUCAGUGGUGAAAGCCCGGAGCUCAACUCCGGAACUGCCAUUGAAACUGUUUAGCUUGAGGAUGAGAGAGGUGAGUGGAAUUCCCAGUGUAGAGGUGAAAUUCGUAGAUAUUGGGAAGAACACCGGUGGCGAAGGUGGCUCACUGGCUCAUUACUGACGCUCAGGCGCGAUAGCGUGGGGAUCAAACAGG
rnacentral:rRNA from 1 species